CCUACGGGUGGCAGCAGUGAGGAAUAUUCGUCAAUGGGCGCUAGCCUGAACCAGCCAUGUAGCGUGAACGAUGACGGCCCUCUGGGUUGUAAACUUCUUUUAUAUGGGAAUAAAGCGCAGUAUGGAUAUUGCUUUGCAUGUACCUUAUGAAUCAGGAACGGCUCAGUCCGGGCCAGCAGCCGGGGUAAUACGGAGGAUUCGAGCGUUGUCCGGUUUUGUUGGGUUUAAAGGGAGCGGAGGGUGGGUGGCAAGCCAGUUGUGAAAUGGUGCGGCCCAAACCGAAAAUUGCAGUGGAUACUGGCAUGCUUGAGUGCAGUAGAGGGAGGCGGAAUUCGUGGUGUAGCGGUGAAAUGCUUAGAUAUCACGAAGAACUCCGAUUGCGAAGGCAGCCUGCUGGACUGUAACUGACGCUGAGGCUCGAAAGUGUGGGGAGCAAACAGGAUUAGAUACCCUUGUAGUC
rnacentral:rRNA from 1 species